CCUACGGGGGGCAGCAGCGAGGAAUAUUGGUCAAUGGGCGGAAGCCUGAACCAGCCAAGUCGCGUGAGGGAAUAAGGCCCUACGGGUCGCAAACCUCUUUUGCCGGGGAGCAAGGGCCGGGACGCGUCCCGGCCCGGAGAGUACCCGGAGAAAAAGCAUCGGCUAACUCCGUGCCAGCAGCCGCGGUAAUACGGAGGAUGCGAGCGUUAUCCGGAUUUAUUGGGUUUAAAGGGUGCGUAGGCGGGCUUUGAAGUCAGCGGUAAAAAUUCGGGGCUCAACCCCGUCCGGCCGUUGAAACUGGGGGC
rnacentral:rRNA from 1 species